rnacentral:rRNA from 1 species
AUUGAACGCUGGCGGCAGGCCUAACACAUGCAAGUCGAACGGUAACAGGAAACAGCUUGCUGCUUCGCUGACGAGUGGCGGACGGGUGAGUAAUGUCUGGGAAACUGCCUGAUGGAGGGGGAUAACUACUGGAAACGGUAGCUAAUACCGCAUAACGUCGCAAGACCAAAGAGGGGGACCUUCGGGCCUCUUGCCAUCGGAUGUGCCCAGAUGGGAUUAGCUAGUAGGUGGGGUAACGGCUCACCUAGGCGACGAUCCCUAGCUGGUCUGAGAGGAUGACCAGCCACACUGGAACUGAGACACGGUCCAGACUCCUACGGGAGGCAGCAGUGGGGAAUAUUGCACAAUGGGCGCAAGCCUGAUGCAGCCAUGCCGCGUGUAUGAAGAAGGCCUUCGGGUUGUAAAGUACUUUCAGCGGGGAGGAAGGGAGUAAAGUUAAUACCUUUACUCAUUGACGUUACCCGCAGAAGAAGCACCGGCUAACUCCGUG